rnacentral:rRNA from 1 species
UACAGAGGUCUCAAGCGUUGUUCGGAUUCAUUGGGCGUAAAGGGUGCGUAGGCGGCGCGGUAAGUCGGGUGUGAAAUCUCGGGGCUUAACUCCGAAACUGCAUUCGAUACUGCCGUGCUUGAGGACUGGAGAGGAGACUGGAAUUUACGGUGUAGCGGUGAAAAUGCGUAGAUAUCGUAAGGAAGACCAGUGGCGAAGGCGGGUCUCUGGACAGUUCCUGACGCUGAGGCACGAAGGUCAGGGGAGCAAAACGGG